UGGAAGAAGAUGCGAAGAAGUUAAUGGGUGUAAGGAACUGGAAGAGAGCAGUGCAGGAUAGAGAGGAAUGGAGGGACUUGAUAUGGGAGGCCAACGCGUGACCUUGGGCUGUUGAAUGUUUAGUCUAUUGUUAGUGUUAUUUGGUUGUUUCAAUAAACUGUGAUAAUAUUCAUGUCCUCUGUAAUUAGCCGGAUGUGCACCUCCACAGACUACACAUUUUGCAGGGGUGUUUCUAGAUUUUUUGCAGCUCUGUGUGCUGUGCGACCGACCACAUUUUACACAUUCAUACGGUUUGUUACAAUAUGAUCUGGUAUGACCAUGUUGUCGCAGUCGCAUGCACUGUGGGAUCCCUUUGGCCUUUCUUGGAGUUUCUACUACAAUUGUUUCAUUUUGUAGUCUUGCUAGUUUGUAGAUUUCUUUGUUGUUAGUGUAAUAAAAGAUAAAUCUAUUUUUUUCCAUACAUUGUUUCAGGCUAACAUUACUGUGCUCGAUGUCUUCUUGCUGAUUUUCACUUCAGCCUUGACAGUUGCCUUUAUUGUGAUAGGUUGGAUAAUAAGGCAUCAGCACAAUGUCAAUGGAUUAUUAAAGGUUUGUGUUCCAGCUGGAUUGAGCAUUUGUCGUAGCCACAGGCUUCAAUUUAGCAGGCUAUUAUUUUUUCUUCGUGGUAA